UAUGUGAGCGAGCCCCUACCUGGUUCGGAGCAGCUGCUGGCAAGGUGAGGAGCCCUGAUCCGAGCAUCCCAAGCCCCUCCACUGGAAGUGGUACGCGUUUACUCUCACGUCUGUCGUCAAAGCUGCAGCACCCUUGGAACUGCUGCUGUCCAUGCUGGCACCUCCUGAAAGAGUUUGUCAACACGUGCCUAAGCGGUUUGCAGCUUGAUUUUUGCGACGUGCCAGUCCCGUGUGCAUCCCCUCCAGAUGUAUGUAUAGGGCGUGGGUUCGCUUCCCCCCGCCUUGUGGUCCUGCAGCGGCUCCUGAGCAAAGAAAGCCCAGAACCAUGCCAUGGCGCCCAGAGGAAUGCAGAGCUCACCCAUCUUUGCUCCGUUCCCAGCACCAGCACUUAAAAUCGUAUCGUCACUCAAACAGGUGCCUUCCCUCUUUAUUCCGGGAAGUUUAAUGAAAGCACAAAAAGCGGAGCUGAUCUCUCUGGGAGAGAACCGAGUGCCUUCCCCCGGCUCUGGCCGACUUCCGUGCUCGUUGGGGCAAUUUGGAUGCCACUUUCUGCUCU